UUCAUUGAAGCCGUGCUGUCAUGUCAAGAAUUGCAAACAUGUAUAUCUCUGUUCAAAAUUUAGCAGCAGGACCAAUGAAACACUCUGGAAAAAGUUGUUAACUGGAUAAAGAAGUUGAUGAGUGCUUGCUGUAACGUGUACGUGCUGUGGAAGUCGUUAAUUUUGAGACAGCAAUCAAGAUCGAGGUGUCAGUCAGCAAAACUGAGAAACGAAACAAGCUAAUUACAUAAGUUCCUUAGAGCUACUGACUAUCUGUGACUAGAGGAUUAUAAAUUCUUUCAGGUAAGGAUUCAAGCCACGAAAUCUUGAAAAUCCAGUAACUUCUUGAGGAAAAUGCGCUUAAAAGAUGGCCAUGAAAGACCGUAAAUCCAUGAUUUACUGAGUGAGUUCUUCCCCAAAUGAAAGNGAAUUGAAGUUCUCCAUUUGUCGCGUUAUCGACGCAUCACGACUCAAGCCGAACACCUACAACAACAAUGGCGACGAGUAAGAUCAACACUACACAACAAGAAGUACAAGAACCUGUCCAUUCUGUAGAAGCAGGAAUUAUCAUCGAGUCGUUUUUUCUCUGCGUAUUGGCUCUUAUCAUUCUCUUUGGGAAUAUUCUGGUUUGUUUGGCGUUUUACAAGGAUAGAAAGCUUCGUACGACGACCAAUUGUUUUAUAGUGAGCCUCGCGAUUGCGGACAUUGCAGUUGGAUCUUUUUCCCUUCCGUACUGGAUCUACUUCAGAAUAGGUAAGAAUUAAAAUAGGCCUUCUGUAUAACUAUUCAAGGGGAACAGAGCAGAGGGAAGAGCUCCGAGUUCAAAACUAGUAGAUUAUUAAACUGCUCGCUCUUUGAAAUUGGUUUCCCUGCCGCGCGAGCUGUUGAGUUGAUCUUUACAUCGUGGAAUUUGAUCUGACUUAAGUAUGACGGGCUGAAAACUUCUGUUUAAAGUGGGGACUUUUAUCAGCCCGAGG
rnacentral:lncRNA from 1 species